rnacentral:rRNA from 1 species
AAUCAACGCUGGCGGCGUGCCUCAGACACGCAAGUCGAACGAUUAAGACUUCCUUCGGGAAGUGUAUAAAGUGGCGCACGGGUGAGUAACACGUAAGUAAUCUACCCUCGAGUGGGGAAUAACGUUCGGAAACGAACGCUAAUACCGCAUAAUGCAGCGGCAUCGCAAGAUGACAGUUGUUAAAGGAGUAAUUCGCUUGAGGAGGAGCUUGCGGCAGAUUAGCUAGUUGGUAAGGUAACGGCUUACCAAGGCUACGAUCUGUAUCCGGUCUAAGAGGACGGUCGGACACACUGACACUGAAUAACGGGUCAGACUCCUACGGGAGGCAGCAGUCAGGAAUUUUGGGCAAUGGGCGAAAGCCUGACCCAGCAACGCCGCGUGAAGGAUGAAGUAUUUCGGUAUGUAAACUUCGAAAGAAUGGGAAGAAUAAAUGACGGUACCAUUUAUAAGCUCCGGCUAACUACGUGCCAGCAGCCGCUGUAAAAC